GACGAACGCUGGCGGCGUGCUUAACACAUGCAAGUCGAACGGAAAGGCCCUUUCGGGGGUACUCGAGUGGCGAACGGGUGAGUAACACGUGGGUGAUCUGCCCUGCACUUUGGGAUAAGCCUGGGAAACUGGGUCUAAUACCGAAUACACCUUGCUGGCUGCAUGGCUGGUGGGGGAAAGCUUUUGCGGUGUGGGAUGGGCCCGCGGCCUAUCAGCUUGUUGGUGGGGUGAUGGCCUACCAAGGCGACGACGGGUAGCCGGCCUGAGAGGGUGUCCGGCCACACUGGGACUGAGAUACGGCCCAGACUCCUACGGGAGGCAGCAGUGGGGAAUAUUGCACAAUGGGCGCAAGCCUGAUGCAGCGACGCCGCGUGAGGGAUGACGGCCUUCGGGUUGUAAACCUCUUUCAGUAUCGACGAAGCGCAAGUGACGGUAGGUACAGAAG
rnacentral:rRNA from 1 species